AGUGAACGCUGGCGGCAGGCCUAAUACAUGCAAGUCGAACGGCAGCACAGCAGAGCUUGCUCUGUGGGUGGCGAGUGGCGGACGGUGAGGAAUACAUGGGAAUCUGCCCAGUCGUGGGGGAUAACGUAGGGAAACUUACGCUAAUACCGCAUGCGCCCUUCGGGGGAAAGGCCGGGGACCUUCGGGCCUGGCGCGAUUGGAUGAGCCCAUUGUCGGAUUAGCUAGUUGGCGGGGUAAUGGCCCGACCAAGGCGACGAUCCGUAGCUGGUCUGAGAGGAUGAUCAGCCACACUGGAACUGAGACACGGUCCAGACUCCUACGGGAGGCAGCAGUAGGGAAUAUUGGACAAUGGGCGCAAGCCUGAUCC
rnacentral:rRNA from 1 species